UGUGGGGAGACUGGGUGGAGAAACCAGAAACUUGGGAGGAGGGAAACAGGUUUCCUUUUUUAGGGCACCCGUGCUGCAGGCACAUGUGGUUGGGAGAAGAAAAAUGCCAGUUACUUUUGUUUGUCUUGAGACAAAGGGAGAAAGGGUUUUCUUUUUUCUGCCUGGAAAUAUAUGUGAAAUGCAUACCUGAAGUUGUACUGGGUGGGGACCGAAGUCGUUGGCAACCACGCUGUAAAGGGGCAAAUCAGAAGGGUCAUUGUAUGAGCAAUGGCUACUGAGAAUGGCUGCAUAAUAGGCGCAUUAUGGAAUGCACACCUGGCUCCUGCAAAGCCCGAGAGUGAGAAAUCGCUUUUAUAGAACCAUCGGGUGAGCAAAAGGAUGAAGGGCUUCCGCUGUGUCAGAACAAACUGGUGCACUAUACACAAUUCCAGGUUGAUCCUGAACAGAGUUCCCAUUCCAGUUCCUUCCCACUCCAAAGGACAGAUGGUGAUGGAGUGGCCUGGUGAUUUACUUGAAAUGAGUUGGUCCCAUGAGCUACAACUAGGAUACUGAAGAUACAGGAGAUCGAUGACGAAGGCCCAGGCAAUUGGAGUAAAGCCCGCUGGCUCUAGCAAUUGGUCCAAGAGUGAGCACCUGUUGAAAGAUGAGCCUUUCUUUUCCAGAGAUUCCCCAAACUGAAGGUUAGAGAAAGAGUCUCUCUCUUUUGGCAUCACUAAGCCUUCCCCAGGGAUUGUCUAUACUCUGGAGCCGCCUCUGGAAAUUUCCAUUCAAGAAGCCAUCUAAAGUUAUGGAGAAUGAGUGAUAACAAAAACGAAGCCAAGACUUAAGGCAGAGAAAUAGAAAGACAGUCCUAAUACCUCCAGUUCUGGAUCCAGGUGACUUUGAGGCCAACCCCACCCCUUCUUUCCCUUUAUCAAAAGUCACAAAAUUCCCCUUUUUGGAUAAAUUCUUUUGAGAUCAGUUUCUGUCACUGCAACUGAAUGCAUUCUGACCAAUACACCUCUAUGUCCAACAGGAUUGGUUAAGCAAACUAUAGUAUAUUCAUAAACUAAAACUAAUGUGGCCCUUAAAAUGAUUUUACCAAAGUAUACCUUUCAAUAAAAAUUAAAUGAAUGGAUGGCAUGCAAAGAUGAUCUGAUAUACUAAGUGAGAAAAAGCUAGCUCUAAAAGAAUAUUCAGUAUCAACUAAUUAUGUUAAAAAAUAGAUGGAUAAAUAGAGACAAUAUUUUAAUGGUAGCUUUUUUCCUAGGUAUUGGGAUGUGUGAUUUUUUAAAUCAUUUUCCAUAUUUUAUAAUUUUUACUUUUAUAAUAAGAAAAAUGAUACUAAAAACCAAGGCUUUGGUCCAAUCUUUUUACAGGUCUAUGUACAAAUUAAAACAUAAUCACCCACCAAUUCACUCUGAAUUUUACCCUGCUCCUUUAUUUCUAAACAAGUUUCCUGUACCAUAGUAACACAUCAUCCAUUUUCUUUUCCAAGCAUUAGGACUCUAAAAGAUGACAUUUAUAAGGAUGGUAAAUAGGCAGCACCUUCUACCAGCAUAGUUUAUGGCUUUUGGCUAGUGUAGCAAUGCACAAAAGAAAAAUUUUGAUCUAAAUGAAGUCACUCAGUAACUUUCUAAUUAUUUUUCUCCAUAGUAACACAUGUAAAGUAUGAGAAAUAUGUUUAUUCAAGUUUUUUUCCUUCUCUUUAAUAACUAUUUCAAAAAGCUUAAGUGUGUUUUAUACCUCCUUAAAAAUUUCACCCUGUCGAUUGGGUUCAUUUUAACACUGAAGUCUAGGGCUUUGCACCAAUAACCUGAGUCUAUUACUGCAUUCUUGAUGAAAAGCACUAAUAGCUUAAAAUGUUUCUUUAUUGAAUUUUCUUUUUCUCAUGAAAGUGACUCUGAAAGCUUUGGAAGGCAUUUCUAAAAUAAUGUCAUAUGAAAAGUCAGCCUUUUAUUAGACUUCAGACCACAGAAGAAUCCCAUGGACUUUUUUUCUAAUAUAAUUUAACCCCUUCAUUCAAGAACAAACUUAAGAGCAAGAGUGUGGGUUAAUAGGUAGAUUUAGAGGCUUCUGUGCCUCCAGUAAUCCUCCUUUCAUCAAAACAAUGGCUAUAAUUAAUAUUUAUGAUUUUGCCUUUCACCUCAAAGGACUUCACAAAUUGUUACCACAGGACUCCUGACACUCGCUGAUGAAGAACUCCUCAGCCCAGUAGAGAAAUUUAUAAUUACCUCAAGUUUACUCCAUAACGAUAUGGCUACAAAGGAGGGUUGGUGGUGACUUGAGCCAUUCAUCUCCCCAUCACCAAAAGAAUGACUCAGGAAUGGGAAAUCAAUCAACCAGCCCGUAAUGAUUUCCCAAAGCUUGCAUAGCAAAAUCAUGUUUCGUCAGUCUGUCCCACUGUGAUGUCAUACAGGCGUAGGCAAAUUAUAACCUGAGGGCCUCUGGCCUCAGUUUUAUACACUGCUUCUCUCCCACCACCUCCUCCUUAGCUCCCAGUGAGUGAUUUUUACAUUUUUAAAGCAUUGUUUUAAAAAAAGAAGAAUAUGUGACAAAGACUGUAUGUAGCCUGCAAAACCCAAAGUAUUCAUUAUCCAAUCCUUUAUAGAAAAAGUUCACAUUCCCUUAGAAGCUAAGGCACAGUGAAAACAGUCCAACUAUAAACUUUUGUAAUUCAAGCUAGAAACAUUGUCUACCCUUAAUGAGAGAGUCACUCAGGAACUCGGGCUUACUGUACACAUGAAUAUACUCUGUGGGAACACAUUUCAGGUAUCACUUAACUCUUCUCAGUCAGCACAUUGCUCAGGACUCAGGGGAUAGAGACCUAACAAACACCAAGUUCAUGUACCAACAUGCUUAUAUGAACACUGUAUACACAUAGGAUAUUCAUCAACAACUGGGAUCGUCAAGUACUGCUGCCGGACCAGAGCACCACUCAACAACAGCACUGAAAGGAAAGGAUAGAAAGGAACCGAAAGCCACCUGUCGGUGCACAUCUGGGGAGACCUACAGGCAAGACUGAGCCCAUUCAGGUCAUUAUCAGAUCAAACAGAACACCAGCAAAAUAGCAGCAUGACAGUCCAACUGUAUACUUUUUUGUCUAGCUGUGGACCAGUUUUAUCAGCCAUUUAUCUGAUGGUUAUUCGCAAGCCCUACUAUCCUUACCAACAGUGAAGAUGACAUUAUUAGCUUCCUAAUGUAUUAGUAACAAAUGUUUUUUGUGUGGGUCAUUGUGCUAAAUGUUCUACAUAUAUUAUAUCCUUUAAGUUUCCAAUAAGACAGACACUGCUAUACUCAUUUUACAAGGACUCUUAGUGGCACACCCCACAUAAUGGAAACCACCUGAAGUAAGCUGAGUGAGUCUCAUGGGAACAGCCCCUGAUUCAUGUCAAUCUUCCUGCCAAGUUCACUGAACAUAGAUCCCAUGUGACAGAUAUUUCCAUCAAGAAUCCAGAAUCCUAUUGGAAACUGAAACUGAUAAAAUUUAGAAAUUGUUCUCUGUUAUCCGUAUCUUUGGAAGGGACAGUUAAAAAUUACUCAACCACAAAAAUGUACCCCAUGUGGUGAAGGUGCUAUUUUCAUCAUGAUUUAAAGGCCCGUCCUGCUCUAACCCCUCAAUGGGGACCUGAGCAUCCCGCUAAAGGUGAAUGGAGGUCAAAAGAAACUGAAUUAAACACAGAACUAGGCCCAAACUAUUGAGGCCAUUCACACACUUUGAAAAAGGACCUAAGACCGCUAUUUUGUGGGUCUGAAUGAAUGCCCACUGACCUCCCAGUUUCUGUUGUUUCUCCUACACUGAAAUACAUCAACAUUCACACACAUUUGCCAUGCAUCUGAACAGCACUCGGCAUUUUGGAAGUGUGGUCCAUUUCCUAUUCUGGCAUAUUAAGUCAGUCUUCGUGUUUCUCUGUACAUGUGGCAUGCCGUCCAAAUGUGACACCUACUGUGGUGUUUGGCCUGUUUCGGCUCCUACUGGCUAGCUUUUCAGUUUCCAUGGGGAAUUCAUACAGAGAUAAGAGCCCCUUCAGUGACAUGGGAGAUAUUGGAGUUAGCUCCCAAAUUCCUAUUUAAUCCACAGUGUAGCUGUCCAAGGAAACUAAGAGGAAUCGCAUGAAUUCUUGACCUUAGAAUUAAAGCUGCAUGACUCAAGAAAAAACAAAUUUUAAAAGGGAAAGAGAUUUCCCCCACCCUCUUUCCUUGACAUGUGGCUGGUUCAAAGAAGAAUUCUAAAAGGGGCAAAGCUUGCUUUGACAGCCACAUAUCGUCCUUUCUACACCCUGUCCCACUUUCUGAUACUCGAGUGAGCCUCCUUACCCCAUCACCUUGAGGCUGCCCCGUCUCCGAGUGUCCCAUCCUCUCUCCCACUAUCCCAGAGCUCCUUAAGAAUAAGGACCCAGUCUUAGCCACCUUUGCGUCCCUAAAACCUUCCACAACCAUUGGUACACAACAAAGUUUACUUCCAUUUCUACUCUCCACAAUCAAAACCGCCACCCCUUUAUGCUAAUAGGUCCUUCACCUGGAUGGAAUGGAAGGUGAGGGGUUACACUUAUUAAGUCAUUUGGUACUAGAAAUGGGAUUGAUGCUUUAAAUUCAUUAUCUUAUUUAACCCUCUUUUUUCUUUUUACUUUUUAUUGUAGAAAAUUGUAAACAUCCACAAAAGUAGAGAUAAUGACAUAAGGAACCUACUAUACCCAAUGCCCAAUCUCUCACCAACCAUCAACCUCUGUCCAAUACUGUUUUAUCUGUAUCCCUUACCCUUCCCACUUGCCUUCACAGUAGGUAUUUAAAACAACGUCCUAGAUACUACAUCAUCUCGAAUAUAUUUAACUAUCUCCCUCACAAAUGCAGAACUGGUUCUUUCAUUCCAACUGCUAUGAAUUUCUAAAUAUAAAUAGUACCUCAGUUUUUCUUCACUCAUGAAUAAUUAAGAUAUAAAAUAAAUACAAUUAAAUUACAUUUAAUCACCUCACAAAUACGAAGGAUAAAGAAAGAUUUUGCAGGUAUGUAAACUACUUAAAUCUGAGUUAUUUCACAUUACUUUUCCCAUUACCACUCUAACUUCACAUUAGUUUUAAGGCUAUUAUAUAGAUACGUAUAUUUUUAAG